rnacentral:rRNA from 1 species
AUUGAACGCUGGCGGCAGGCCUAACACAUGCAAGUCGAGCGGAUGAAGGGAGCUUGCUCCUGGAUUCAGCGGCGGACGGGUGAGUAAUGCCUAGGAAUCUGCCUGGUAGUGGGGGAUAACGUCCGGAAACGGGCGCUAAUACCGCAUACGUCCUGAGGGAGAAAGUGGGGGAUCUUCGGACCUCAUGCUAUCAGAUGAGCCUAGGUCGGAUUAGCUAGUUGGUGGGGUAAAGGCCUACCAAGGCGACGAUCCGUAACUGGUAUGAGAGGAUGAUCAGUCAGACUGGCACUGAGACACGGUCCAGACUCCUAAGGGAGGAAGCAGUGGGGAAUAUUGGACAAUGGGCGAAAGCCUGAUCCAGCAAUGCCGCGUGUGUGAAGAAGGUCUUCGGAUUGUAAAGCACUUUAAGUUGGGAGGAAGGGCAGUAAGUUAAUACCUUGCUGUUUUGACGUUACCAACAGAAUAAGCACCGGCUAACUUCGUG